UACGUAGGGUGCAAGCGUUAAUCGGAAUUACUGGGCGUAAAGCGUGCGCAGGCGGUUUUGUAAGUCUGUCGUGAAAGCCCCGGGCUCAACCUGGGAAUUGCGAUGGAGACUGCAAGGCUUGAAUCUGGCAGAGGGGGGGUAGAAUUCCACGUGUAGCAGUGAAAUGCGUAGAGAUGUGGAGGAACACCGAUGGCGAAGGCAGCCCCCCCUGGGUCAAGAUUGACGCUCAUGCACGAAAGCGUGGGGAGCAAACAGG
rnacentral:rRNA from 1 species